UACGUAGGGUGCGAGCGUUAAUCGGAAUUACUGGGCGUAAAGCGUGCGCAGGCGGUUUUGUAAGCCAGAUGUGAAAUCCCCGGGCUUAACCUGGGAAUGGCAUUUGGGACUGCAAGGCUGGAGUUUGGCAGAGGAGACUGGAAUUCCUGGUGUAGCAGUGAAAUGCGUAGAUAUCAGGAGGAAUACCGAUGGCGAAGGCAGGUCUCUGGGCUAUAACUGACGCUCAUGCACGAAAGCG
rnacentral:rRNA from 1 species